UACCAGCACCCCGAGUGGUCGGUACGAUUAUUGGGCCUAAAGCAUCCGUAGCCGGUCCUACAAGUCUUCCGUUAAAUCCACCUGCUUAACAGAUGGGCUGCGGAAGAUACUAUAGGGCUAGGAGGCGGGAGAGGCAAGCGGUACUCAGUGGGUAGGGGUAAAAUCCUCUGAUCCAUUGAAGACCACCAGUGGCGAAGGCGGCUUGCCAGAACGCGCUCGACGGUGAGGGAUGAAAGCUGGGGGAGCAAACGGG
rnacentral:rRNA from 1 species